rnacentral:rRNA from 1 species
UACGGAGGGUGCAAGCGUUAUCCGGAUUUACUGGGUUUAAAGGGUGCGUAGGUGGGCAAGUAAGUCAGUGGUGAAAUCUCCGGGCUUAACCCGGAAACUGCCAUUGAUACUAUUUGUCUUGAAUACUGUGGAGGUCAGCGGAAUAUGUCAUGUAGCGGUGAAAUGCUUAGAUAUGACAUAGAACACCAAUUGCGAAGGCAGCUGGCUACACAAAUAUUGACACUGAGGCACGAAAGCGUGGGAUCAAACAGG